AGCCAGCCUCAGCCCUUGUGACCUACUGUUUCUAAAGAGCUUUUAGGCACAGCGGCUGCCAAGCUCUUAGGGCAGCUGUGGCUUCUUUGCUGAGAUUAAAGAAGCUGCCUACAAAAUAAAAAAGGACAAAAAAUAAAGGCAAAGAGGAUGGAAGACCUGAGCUGUAUUCAGUGGCCAAGAGAGAAGCCUAUAUUUCCCAAGGGAUGGGCCGAGGGCUUGACUACUCCCCUGACCAUAAAUGGCUUUGCUGGGGCUCCCUGGGAACCACCUCUUGCCCUCCCUCUCCAGCUCUCCCAGUUGGAUGUUCCUGUGAAUGGGAGACACAAGCAAAACACCAGCAAGAAAGGAACUCGAAGAAGGCAGUGACUGGAGAAGGUUCUUGAAAGGCUGGUGGAAAUGAGUUUUUCACUAAACUUCACACUGCCAGCUAAUAUGACUUCCUUUCCAGUUGUUACAGGUGGGAAUGAAGCAGACUGUGGGCCCUCUGUUGGAUUAGCAGCAGGCAUCCCAUCUUUGGUGGCCACAGCCCUCCUGGUAGCCUUACUAUUUACUUUUGUUCACCGAAGAAGAAGAAGAAGAAGAAGCAGAAGCAGUGAGUCUGCUGAGGAAACUGAAAGACCAUGUGAAAUUUCAGAAAUCUAUGACAAACCCAAGAUAUCUGAAAAUCCUAGGAGGUCACCCACACAUAUGAAGAAUACUACAGGAGCACAAGAAGCCCACAUAUAUGUGAAGACUGUAGCAGGAAGCGAGCAGCCCCUGCCUGACACUUACCAUCCUCCUGAAGAAAUAGAGAGAAGGAGGGGACUGUGGUGGCUUAUACCUAGACUAAGCCUGGAAUGAUGUAACUUAGUCAAGGAGCAGAUCUGGAUCCAAACAGGGCCAAAGACAUAGGGAUUUGUACUUGGAGAGGACAGAUGCCAAGCUGCUUCUUAACCAAUUCACAUUUCAUUUGUAGAUGUGGAAUACUUUUGGGUGGAUUUAUCUCUUUAGGGGAUGGUUCCAGUAAGGUUCAUUCUGACUCUCAGAUCUAUUGUUUAAUAAGUAGUGAAACACCAUAUGUGUUUACUAUACAUCCAGAUGAACUCCUAAGCUUCUGUCUUGACUCCAGUGGGAAUUUGCCUUUGUGAUUUUGGGAAAAGGGCCUGGUUUCUGAGUGUCUUGCCUUUUCAUCUUUUUAUUACAUCCCUUUUCUCAAAAAAGGUAUCAGGCCUGGCUUCUGUAGGAAUGUUGGCCAAGGUCAGCCCAGUAUAAGUUAGAAUAUAAAUGAAACUUAUGUGAAAUGCAUGAGGGGAAGUCAUUUCUUAUUUCUUCAGUCUAAUACUCUCCCAAAUGUGGUAUUCAGCUCGCUAUUUCUUAUUUCUGAAUAUCUCAGAAUAAAAGGCCAUAUGGAGCCACACAUUUCCUGAUCAUAGGGCAGGAUAUGGUUGGGUCAUGUCACGCAGCAGCCUAAAGAAAAUUGGACCUGCCACUGAACAACUGUAUGACUUUUGGAGAAGUCAGUUAACUUCUCCAAGCCAUAGUCUUUGGUUUUGUCUAAGAGGGGAUUUAUAUUACUUGAUUUGUGAGGUCAUUAAAAAAAUUAAAGAAGAAAUAAAGGGAAGUGUUUGCCACUUUAACUAUUAAAAAUUUUAGUUCUCUUUCCCNNNNNNNNNNNNNUUUCCCUACCUACUUUUUUUCUUACCUUCCUAUAGUGCUUGUCUGAUAAAGUCAAACAGCUGAUCACCAGUACUUAUUACCUAUAUUUAUAAGGUCACCAAGGAAAUAUUUAUGUCAAACAUUUUCCAUGGCCUGCAAUCCAAAUUGUUGAAAUCUAAAGUUGAUUCUAGAUUGAUAUCUAAAGGUAAUUCUAGUAGUGUGUAAAAUUUUAAACCUAGAUCUAAAUGCGACCUUGACCUUACAUAUGAGCCAGCAAAAGACAGGUUUUUACAAGUUAUACAUUCCAAGUACAGAAACUUGAGGUAUAACAUUUACCCUUCAAGAUGUUGAAGUUGAGGAGAUUCAUGUUUUAUUUUAAAAUGACUUUUUUUUUGGUACUGGGGAUCGAACUUGGGACCUUGCACUUGUGAGGCAGGCGGUGGAACCACUGAGCUAAAUCUCCAGCCCUUAAAAUGACUUUUAUUUACAGUGAGACAUUGUAAAAGUAAGACAAUGUGUGCCUCUUAUGACAGUUUCUCAAAUCUUUAAACUUUGUGCCUUAUGUGUAGUUCCAAGGAUAUAAUUUCUUUUAUUUAAACAUCAUCAUCAUCAUCAUCAUCAUCAUCAUCAUCAUCAUCAUCAAGAACAAGAACAAGAACAACAAAAGUCUUCAGAGAGAACAAGAAUACUACAGCCCAUGAAUAGCAAUGCCAUUUUAGCUUCUUUUAUUUAAACAUCAUCAUCAUCAUCAUCAUCAUCAUCAUCAUCAUCAUCAUCAUCAUCAAGAACAAGAACAAGAACAACAAAAGUCUUCAGAGAGAACAAGAAUACUUGAGCCCAUGAAUAGCAAUGCCAUUUUAGCUUACUGAAGAUUCUCUCCAGGGAGGCUUAAUGGAAAAGAAGACACCAACUGGAGUGCUGUUGCACUCAUCAAGCAUAAACUGGUUGUUUGUCCAGCUUUGUGUGAAUAACUCCAGAAUAGAUCAUUCUCUGACUUUCUCUUAUCUCAGUAACACUCCUUCCCAGUUUUCAAGGCCUCUUUGUCCCCUCCACACUUUGCUUGUUUUAUCUUUCUUCUGGCUUCAGUACUAACUUCACUUUUUCUAUGACUUUAGGUAAGCUGUUUUCCUAGUAUGUCAGAUAUCUUACCAGUCACUUGGCCUAGUAGACAUGUCAUUUAUCACCUUCACUUGCAUCUGUGAUUAGAGAAUAUUUAAGUCAAGCAGUUCUGCAAUGGAUUUUGUGUGUGCACAUGUUUGUGUGUGUGUGGGAGGGGUUUUUAUGUGUACAGAGAUAAAGAAGGGGGAGGAAAAAUGAGUUGCUGUGAGAGAUUACUAGCAAUAAGUGCAUAUGCAUCCUAUGAGAAUUGAGAAAAGGCCACGAAGAGAGAUCAAUAAUACCAGAGGGAAGAAUUCAAGAAGAAAGCAAUAAGUUGGGUAGCUAUAUGCCUGCCAUCUAAGGAUAAAAAAGAAAAAAGACAACAUUGAGUAGCUUAGGUCAAGCCUUCACCAUCACUCCCAUGAAGAAGUUUUCAGACAGUCUGUUGCCCUGUUCUUGGCCACUGCCUUUGAGUAGGCCAGGCUGUAUGGUGGGAAAUCCUGGGUUCCACUCUAUGAGCAAUGCUGAUGUACUAGAAAAUAUUCCUUUCUCACAUAGAGCUCUGAUUGCUCAGAAAUAUACUGACAACAGGUUCUAUAAACCUGUCACAUGUCAACACCUACUUUUCAAAGCCCUUUGUGAAAUUCAGUACUAAGUUUGAAAUUGUACUAAGUCCCCUGGAUUCAGUCCCUUUGACAAGCAGAUUUGGCCAUUUUGAAGCAAAUGUACACAGGGUUGCUGAUGCUUUUACUUCUUACACAUUGGGAAGAAUCUUGUAUGUACUGGGAACUCAGUUGUGGCCUUGACUUUGAUACUGAUAGACAUCAACCCUCAUGCAAGUUGUUGAUCACCUAGAGCCCCAGGUCUGUACUUAUAAAAUGGAAACUCUACAAGGUAGCUGUGAAUCUGGACUAAAACAGAUAUCUCGAUAAGCCUGUGGCCUAUAAGUUAUGAUUUGUACUUUGGAUCAUUUAUUUGAAUUCUGCUUAUAAUCCAUGUUUAGAAUAUUUCAAAUUGUUCCUACUAAACUAGUAAGGUUUAGUAUGUCUGUCCUAUAUUUCUGCUAUAUGCACAAAAACUUAUUUUGGAAUAAAAUGAAAAAUAAAAUGAGAUGUUAUUGUUUAUAUCUAGAUGUCCCCUUAAGGCCUCAUGUGAUCACAAUCAGGGAUUUUGGAGGGUAAUUGAAUUAUUUUAACUUGCUGUUAAAGGUGUGACCUGAUUGGAAAAGGUGGGUCCUUGGGAGGGGCAUGGCCUGGAAGAAUUUAUCUCCCUCCUCAGCUCUUUCCUUUCACUCUCUGCUUCCUGGACACCAUGCCUUGAGCUCUUCUUCUCUACCAGGCUGCCCUGACUUAAAGCCAGCUGACUAUGGGUUUAAACCUGUACAAACUAUGAGCCCAAAUAAACCUCUCUUUCCUUAAGUGGCAGGUGUCAGGCAUUUGUCCUGGCAAUGAAAGGAUUAAGUGAGAUAAAUUUUGUACUGCAAUGCUGCCAUGUAGUUCAGAAGACUUUGGAAAUGGUUUGUUGAAGGAGUUUGGAAAGGUUUGGCAGUCCCAGCUGGAGAAACAGCUCUGGAAUGCUGUAAGCCAAGCUUGAUGAGAGAUUCUGUUCAUAGCUCAGAAAACAAGGAUACUGAUAGAAAUGCAGAUGGUAAAGACCAGGCUCAGUAGGUUUCAGUUGGGAAGAAAGAAUCCAUUGGCAGUUGGACCCCAGAUUAUGUGUGUUACACUCUGACAGAAAAUUUGUCUACAUUUUGCUGAUGUCCUAAGACUUUGUGGGAAACUGAGAUUAAGGGUAAUGGACUAAUAUGAUCUGGUGGAGGAAAUUUCAAGGCAGCCUAAUGUUGAGGCUGUGGCAUGGGUACUGUUGUGGGCUUUUUAGCCAGCUCUACACUGAGAAUAAAGAGUAUGUGGUACAGCUAAUGAUUUUAAAAGUUUUGAGUUUCACCAGAAAGUGCUGGUAAAGUUGGGGCCUGC
rnacentral:lncRNA from 1 species